UUUGUGAGAAAUCAUAAGGAUUUGGACUCUGGGGGAAGUAUGGUCGCAAGGCUGAAACUUAAAGGAAUUGACGGAAGGGCACCACCAGGAGUGGAACCUGCGGCUUAAUUUGACUCAACACGGGGAAACUUACCAGGUCCAGACACAGUGAGGAUUGACAGAUUGAUAGCUCUUUCUUGAUUUUGUGGAAAGUGGUGCAUGGCCGUUUUUAGUUGGUGGAUUGAUUUGUCUGGUUAAUUCCGUUAACGAACGAGACCUAAACCUACUAACUAGUUAAUGGUAACUUGGACUCCAUAAUAAAUUUUCAUAUGGAGACCUCUAAAUUUAUCCAAACUUCUUAGAGGGACUCUUUAUACUUAGUGAAUGGAAGUUUUAGGC
rnacentral:rRNA from 1 species